rnacentral:rRNA from 1 species
AGAGUUUGAUCAUGGCUCAGGAUGAACGCUGGCGGUCUGCUUAACACAUGCAAGUCGAACGGGCUCUUUCGGGAGCUAGUGGCGGACGGGUGAGUAACGCGUGAGAAUCUGCCAAAAGGACUGGGACAACCACUGGAAACGGUGGCUAAUACCAGAUGUGCCGCAACGUAAAAGAGGAAACUCGCCUUUUGAGGAGCUCGCGUCUGAUUAGCUAGUUGGUGAGGUAAAAGCUCACCAAGGCAACGAUCAGUAGCUGGUCUGAGAGGACGACCAACCGCACUGGGACUGAGACACGGCCCAGACUCCUACGGGAGGCAGCAGUGGGGAAUUUUCCGCAAUGGGCGAAAGCCUGACGGAGCAAGACCGCGUGAGGGAGGAAGGCUCUUGGGUCGUAAACCUCUUUUGUCAGGGAAGAACACAAUGACGGUACCUGACGAAUCAGCAUCGGCUAACUCCGUGCCAGCAGCCGCGGUAAUACGGAGGAUGCAAGCGUUAUCCGGAAUUAUUGGGCGUAAAGCGUCCGUAGAUGGUUUUGCCAGUCGGCUGUCAAAGCACAGGGCUUAACCCUGCAAAGGCAGUGGAAACUACAAGACUAGAGUGCAGUAGGGGCAGAGGGAAUUCCCAGUGUAGCGGUGAAAUGCGUAGAGAUUGGGAAGAACACCCGUGGCGAAAGCGCUCUGCUGGACUGCAACUGACAUUGAGGGACGAAAGCUAGGGGAGCGAAUGGGAUUAGAUACCCCCGUAGUCC